AUGAGGGUGAACACGGCGCCCGGGCCUGAUGGUUUCCUGGUCAUCUUCUAUAAGCGGUUUUGUAAAAUAGUGGGACCACAGUUCGCUCACCUUGUGAAUGAAUUCACUAGGGACCGAAUAGACAUUAAACGCCUAAAUUAUGGGGUGUUGGCUUUGAUUUCGAAGGUGCCAGGUGCAUACCAAAUUAGGCAGCUUCACCCUCUCACGCUCAUAAAUGUCAGCUUCAAGCUGAUUACAAUGGGAUUUGCCUCCCGCAUUGCUCCGGUGGCAGACAAGAUUAUUGAUAAUCUGCAAACUGCCUUUAUUAAAGGGCGGAGCAUCCUGGACGGGAUAGCGGUGCUCCAUGAGGUGCUCCAUGAGAUCAAGAAUUCCAAGGAAGAGGUGUUCAUUCUUAAACUCUACUUUGAGAAAGCCUAUGACCGGGUCCGAUGGGACUUCAUUGAGGAGGUGUUCCACAAGAAAAACUUUGACCCACAAUAG
rnacentral:rRNA from 1 species